GGAGAGGUGGGAGAGUGGUUGAAUCCGCACGCCUCGAAAGCGUGUUAGCCUUAACGGGCUACGAGGGUUCGAAUCCCUCCCUCUCCGCCA
rnacentral:tRNA from 1 species